rnacentral:rRNA from 1 species
CCUACGGGUGACAGCAGUGGGGAAUAUUGGACAAUGGGGGGAACCCUGAUCCAGCCAUGCCGCGUGUGCGAAGAAGGCCCUCGGGUUGUAAAGCACUUUCAGUGAGGAAGAACGCCUGGUGGUUAAUACCCAUCAGGAAAGACAUCACUCACAGAAGAAGCACUGGCUAACUCCGUGCCAGCAGCCGCGGUAAUACGGAGGGUGCGAGCGUUAAUCGGAAUUACUGGGCGUAAAGCGCGCGUAGGUGGCUUGAUAAGCCGGUUGUGAAAGCCCCGGGCUCAACCUGGGAACGGCAUCCGGAACUGUCAAGCUAGAGUGCAGGAGAGGAAGGUAGAAUUCCCGGUGUAGCGGUGAAAUGCGUAGAGAUCGGGAGGAAUACCAGUGGCGAAGGCGGCCUUCUGGACUGACACUGACACUGAGGUGCGAAAGCGUGGGUAGCAAACAGGAUUAGAUACCCGAGUAGUC